rnacentral:rRNA from 1 species
UGAACGCUAGCGGCAGGCUUAACACAUGCAAGUCGAGGGGUAACAUUGGUGCUUGCAUCAGAUGACGACCGGCGCACGGGUGAGUAACGCGUAUGUAACCUACCUAUCACAGGGGGAUAGCCCGGAGAAAUUCGGAUUAAUACCGCAUAGUUUUGAGAUAUUGCAUGAUAUUUCAAAUAAAACUUCGGUGGUGAUAGAUGGACAUGCGUAUGAUUAGUUAGUUGGUGAGGUAACGGCUCACCAAGGCGACGAUCAUUAGGGGUUCUGAGAGGAAGGUCCCCCACACUGGUACUGAGACACGGACCAGACUCCUACGGGAGGCAGCAGUGAGGAAUAUUGGUCAAUGGACGGAAGUCUGAACCAGCCAUGCCGCGUGCAGGAUGACUGCCCUAUGGGUUGUAAACUGCUUUUCUGAAGGAAGAAAAGUACCUACGUGUAGGUAUUUGCCGGUACCUCAGGGAAUAAGGAUCGGCUAACUCCGUGCCAGCAGCCGCGGUAAUACGGAGGAUCCGAGCGUUAUCCGGAUUUAUUGGGUUUAAAGGGUGCGUAGGCGGUAUAAUAAGUCAGUGGUGAAAGUCUGUGACUCAACCAUAGAGUGCCAUUGAACUGU